GCACUGUUGAAGAGUUCCAUACUAGGACGAAACGGCAGUCCAGUGC
rnacentral:hammerhead_ribozyme from 1 species